rnacentral:rRNA from 1 species
UACAGAGGAUGCAAGCGUUAUCCGGAAUGAUUGGGCGUAAAGCGUCUGUAGGUGGCUUUUUAAGUCCGCCGUCAAAUCCCAGGGCUCAACUCUGGACAGGCGGUGGAAACUGCCAAGCUGGAGUACGGUAGGGGCAGAGGGAAUUUCCGGUGGAGCGGUGAAAUGCGUAGAGAUCGGAAAGAACACCAGCGGCGAAAGCGCUCUGCUGGGCCGACACUGACACUGAGAGACGAAAGCUAGGGGAGCGAAUGGG